AGAUUGAACGCUGGCGGCAGGCCUAACACAUGCAAGUCGAGCGGUAGAGAGGUGCUUGCAUCUCUUGAGAGCGGCGGACGGGUGAGUAAUGCCUAGGAAUCUGCCUAGUGGUGGGGGAUAACGUUCGGAAACGGACGCUAAUACCGCAUGCGUCCUACGGGAGAAAGCGGGGGACCUUCGGGCCUCGCGCCAUUAGAUGAGCCUAGGUCGGAUUAGCUAGUUGGUGAGGUAAUGGCUCACCAAGGCGACGAUCCGUAACUGGUCUGAGAGGAUGAUCAGUCAACACUGGAACUGACG
rnacentral:rRNA from 1 species